rnacentral:rRNA from 1 species
GGGGAUAAGUCGGGGAACUGAAACAUCUCAGUACCCGGAGGAAAGGACAUCAACCGAGACUCCGUUAGUAGUGGCGAGCGAACGCGGAUCAGGCCAGUGGCUAUGACAAUCUAAACCGAAUGUGUUGGGAAACACGACCAAAGUGGGUGACAGUCCCGUAGGUGUGUUGAUUGUUGUGGUCCUAGAGUAGGGCGGGACACGUGAAAUCCUGUCUGAACAUGGGGGGACCACCCUCCAAGCCUAAGUACUCCUUACCGACCGAUAGUGAACUAGUACCGUGAGGGAAAGAUGAAAAGUACCCCGAUGA